AGAGAAACAAUAGACACUAGAAACAGGCACACAAGUGAUUCAGAUAUUGGAGCUACCAGGUGGAAACUCUUAAAAAAAAUAACCAAACUGUGAUUAAUAUGUUCAAAAUUAUAGAGAAAAAGAUUGAGAAUUCUCAGCACCAUGGCGGCCAUGGAAGUGUAAUACUCAGAUCUCCUUUCAAGAGAAAACUCGCUGUGAGAGAUGUAGUUACCAGACCACCUCCAGCAGCCACACACUUAGGAUCUGCUGCAGUGUUUAUCCCACUGCCAUGGUCUCUCUAGGAUGCUCUCAGCCAAUGACUGAGCAUGGCAGGAGUACUGGUUGGACAUUCCUGUUCAACAGAGGACUGCUUUGCAGGUGAUCUUUGCUCUGGUGCUGCCAUUAGCCUGAUAGAGACACUCUCAGAGCUACAAAGAACUCUGGCUCUUUCCACUCAGACCUCCUGAUGAUUCUUGAUCAAGAGAAUAGCCAUCUUGACUCCUACCUCACAUCCUAUACCCCUCUCUUCCAUAAAUGUAGUAGCAAGGUCCCAGUACCAAGGGCCAUCUGGGUGUUUCACCAUCCCACCUGGUUCAUGCCUCCCACAGCUGCCAACAUGUCUUUCAGGAUCAGAGGAAUCUCCUAGGCUCCCCAUCUGCCAUCACAGCACUCAGGGAAGCCCUGCUCCUACCAGGAUUAGAAGUGAAGAGAGGUGCUUGUGUCCACUGAAGAAACUUUGUUUUCCUCCUUACCUCUACUUAUGGAAGAUUAUAGUACAUUUUCCAUGCAUUAUAUGUUGCAAACAUUCUGAGACUCUUCUUUGUCCAAACUUUGGUACUUUACUGUUGCUUCUCUUUCAAGUAGAAUUUUCCUUUAUCUUCCAAAUCUAGCGGCAGAGUUGGCUUCAUGUGGGUGUUACCUAUGUAGCUGCACAGGGCCCUGUGUUCAGAAGAGCCCCAUGCUUAGUUUAAUGCUCUCUAGUUGUGGUCCUGAAAUUCUUAGUAAUUUUAUCUUUGAACCUGUGUUUUGUUAAGUGAAGUCUGAUGGGAUAAUGGGGCACACAUGUGGUCAGAGGCUAUGCACUCAAUGUGCAUGUUCAUGGAUCCUAGAUGCCCCAUUCAAGUAGAACAUUCGCAAGGCGCCGUGAGCACAGAACUCCAGUGGACCCAAAAUGUGUGGGAGGUCAGCGUGACUCAGAGAGUAUAAAGAACUUGUGUAAUGUCUGUGACUGAGUAAGCAGAAACACUGACAACUGGGAGGGGCCAUUCUUUCCGUUCAAAGCAGAACUUAUUUUGAAUCCAUAAAGAAGGUAAUCCAUUCUAAGAAACACAAAAGACCAAGGAAUCCUAAUGUAUUCAUUCUUUCGCACAUUACUUCCCUGUAUUAGCUAACUGCCUAUGGAUGGAGAAACCCACAGCUCCUUUUCCUUUAGGUCCCUCCUUACUCAUCAGUAAACCAAAGGUAGAGAACGUUGGUAGAAUGUGUGCAUGUCGAGAAGUGCUAUAAAAACAGUUGAGUUAGUUUUGAGCAUCAUUCUGGUAAGAAUGCAAUAUAGAUGCAUGUACACGCUAUGAAAUAG
rnacentral:lncRNA from 1 species